rnacentral:rRNA from 1 species
GUAGAUAUCUGGAAGAACAUCAGUGGCGAAGGCGAGUUCCUGGCCGACAACUGACGCUGAGGCGCGAUAGCGUGGUGAGCGUACAGGAUUAGAUACCCUGGUAGUCCACGCCGUAAACGAUGUGCACUAGGUCUUGGGCUUUCGAAGGCUCAGUGCCGCAAGUUAACACGUUAAGUGCACAGCCUGGGGAGUAUGCCCGCAAGGGUGAAACUCAAAGGAAUUGACGGGGGCCCGCACAAGCGGUGGAGCAUGUGGUCUAAUUCGAUGAUACGCGAGGAACCUUACCAGGGCUUGACAUAUGCCGGAAGUCGCAAGAGAUUGCGGCGCCAUUCGGGGCCGGUAUACAGGUGCUGCAUGGCCGUCGUCAGCUCGUGCCGUGAGGUGUUGGGUUAAGUCCCGCAACGAGCGCAACCCCUGUUGUCUGUUGCCAUCAGGUAAUGCUGGGAACUCAGACGAAACUGCCGGUGACAAACCGGAGGAAGGUGGGGACAACGUCAAGUCAUCAUGGCCCUUAUGUCGUGGGCUACACACGUGCUACAAUGGCCGGUACAGAGCGAUGCGAUACCGCAAGGUGGAGCAAAUCGCCGAAAGCUGGUCUCAGUUCGGAUUGGAGUCUGAAACCAGACUCCAUGAAGGUGGAAUCGCUAGUAAUCGCGCAUCAGCAUGGCGCGGUGAAACGUUCCCGGGCAUUGUACACACCGCCCGUCACACCACCCGAGUUGGGGGUACCCGAAGUCGUUAGCANUACCUUCACGGAGGGCGACGCAGAAGGUAGGCAGGCAACGGGGGCUGA